rfam:Nestor notabilis contig36880, whole genome shotgun sequence.
AAUUUCACACCUGGAUGUGCUCACUCAACCAAGAAUAUAGAGAAAGAGCUUCUGCCCUCAGACUCAGAAAAAUAUUCUCCACUGCUUCAGUUCAGUAUAGAUUUCUAGACCCCGAGCCUUGCUUAACAGAGUUGCACAGGGG